CAACUUGAGAGUUUGAUCCUGGCUCAGAGCGAACGCUGGCGGCAGGCUUAACACAUGCAAGUCGAGCGGGCGUAGCAAUACGUCAGCGGCAGACGGGUGAGUAACGCGUGGGAACAUACCUUUUGGUUCGGAACAACACAGGGAAACUUGUGCUAAUACCGGAUAAGCCCUUACGGGGAAAGAUUUAUCGCCGAAAGAUUGGCCCGCGUCUGAUUAGCUAGUUGGUGAGGUAACGGCUCACCAAGGCGACGAUCAGUAGCUGGUCUGAGAGGAUGAUCAGCCACAUUGGGACUGAGACACGGCCCAAACUCCUACGGGAGGCAGCAGUGGGGAAUAUUGGACAAUGGGCGCAAGCCUGAUCCAGCCAUGCCGCGUGAGUGAUGAAGGCCCUAGGGUUGUAAAGCUCUUUGUGCGGGAAGAUAAUAACGGUACCGCAAGAAUAAGCCCGGCUAACUUCGUGCCAGCAGCCGCGGUAAUACGAAGGGGGCUAGCGUUGCUCGGAAUCACUGGGCGUAAGGGGUGCGUAGGCGGGUC
rnacentral:ncRNA from 1 species